rnacentral:rRNA from 1 species
CCUACGGGAGGCAGCAGUGGGGAAUUUUCCGCAAUGGGCGAAAGCCUGACGGAGCAACGCCGCGUGAGGGAUGAAGGCCUCUGGGCUGUAAACCUCUUUUUUCAAGGAAGAAGAUCUGACGGUACUUGAAGAAUAAGCCACGGCUAAUUCCGUGCCAGCAGCCGCGGUAAUACGGGAGUGGCAAGCGUUAUCCGGAAUUAUUGGGCGUAAAGCGUCCGCAGGCGGCCUUGAAAGUCUGUCGUUAAAGCGUGGAGCUUAACUCCAUUUAAGCGAUGGAAACUACAAGGCUAGAGUGUGGUAGGGGCAGAGGGAAUUCCCGGUGUAGCGGUGAAAUGCGUAGAUAUCAGGAAGAACACCAGUGGCGAAGGCGCUCUGCUGGGCCAUAACUGACGCUCAUGGACGAAAGCCAGGGGUGCGAAAGGGAUUAGAUACCCUGGUAGUCCAGACCGUAAACGGUGGGCACUAGUUGUGGGAACCUUCCACGGUUUCUGCGACGCAGCUAACACAUUAAGUGCCCCGCCUGGGGAGUACGAUCGCAAGAUUAAAACUCAAAGGAAUUGACGG